CCACCAUAUCACACAUAUUUUCACAAUCAGUUGCCAAAUCAGCCACAUCAUUGAAGACAUUGAACAUUUUAUUAUACUGACAUGUUUCAGGCAACAUUGAAGGUUGUUAUAAUUGAUAAUCACUUUACUAUGGCACCUUUUCACAUUUUUGUUCCAUCUUCUUAAAAUGUACUUGUCUGAUAUCUCAUGGAUCUUUUCUUUCAUUAACACCACAAUUUGAUGCCUACACACUAUUCCCCUAAACUCGAACAAUCGACAACUACAAUUUGUGUCAAAGUUAUUCUUAUCAAAAUACAUAGUGAAAUGUGCUAAUCGAAGGUUCUCUCCAAAUGGAACAUCUUUACUUACUUCAUAUAGAAAAAUUGGGACCUUGUGUAUACAAAGUCAAAUUGCAAUGAAGGUGCCCUACAACCUCUUGUUGGAACUCUUUAAAUUUUGCAAUAGUGUAAGCUUUUUGAAAUUGCUUCUCAAAUGGAGAAUUAAAUUCUUCUCCAUUUUCAUUUUCCACCUUCUUCGCCAAAGCAUUCUCAUAUUGCUCCACAAAUUGUUUCAAAGUGGUUUUUGAGUUGAUGCACUCAUCAAAGAAUGCGUGCAUGCUUUCACUUCGUUGUGUGGUUGACAUUCUUGCCCAAAAAAUGUCUUUGACAAAUGUAAUUUUUUUCAAGAUAUGCCACAAAACCAUCAAUGACGCACAUUAGGGAAAACAAUUUGUGUAACAUUUUUCAUGGCUUUGUCUUGAUCUGUAAUAAUAGCAUUUGGAGGACAUCCAGACAUGCAUGCAAGCCAAGACUUAAAUAACCAUGUAAAUGUCGCUGUGUUUUCACGUGAAAUGAGUCCACAACCUAACAAUGUUGAUUGUCUAUGAUAGUUGACCCCAAUAAAUGGGGCAAAGGGUAUAUCAUACUUAUUUACCAA